UGUGAAAACUACCACCACAUGUAGGAAAGAGCUACCACCCCGGUCGUCCGGCAAGUGUGUGAAGCUACCACAUGGAGAUUAAUUGAAAAGCCGAAAAGGUUGAAAAAAAUAAUAAUUUUAAAAUUUUCGGAGUAAUAAGGUGCUAGUUUGAAAAAGAUGCUCAAAGAGCCACCCCCGGUAUCAUAUUGGUUAGAUCUCUAUUUUGAACGUGUUACGAUAAAUUGGUGUCAAUUUUGUUGAAUUUCUAAAAAUCAUUUUUCAUCAACUCACAUCUUGAUAAUUUUGAAACUUGAAAUCAGUUUUGAUUAUGAAAUUUUUGAUGUUUGGAUGUUUUUUGAAAUUUUAUAAUAUAUUAAUUUCAUCAUAAUAAUUUUUGGAGUAAAAACCUUAAUUUAUAUGAAAUUAAUUUAAUUUGAUGGAUUUUUAAAGGAAAAUUUUUGAAAUCAAGGAUCGUGUACCGGUACAGGAUCGUGUACCGGUACGGGUACUGUAGCCGCGGAUGUAUAUCCGGUUACAGAGCUAGUGUUCUCUCUCAAAUCUGAAUCAAACUUUGUUUUCUCUCUCUCUAAAAAUCCCUGGUGCCUUCCUCUUGCAGAUCUACAUGUUUUCCCUCAGAAAUUUGUGAGUAUUUAGCUUGGAUUUAAUCGUUUCAUCGCGUUCAUGUUUAUUUUUCGAAAUAUUCCGAGUUGAAGCUAGAUCUCUAUUUUUGAUCGUUUUUGAUGCAAUUUUUUGCUGUAGAUCAGUGCUUAAUUAUAUUAUCUUGCUUCUAGAACACUUGAAUCACAUCAAAACACAUUAUUUUUCGCUGAUCUAAGAUUUAUGCUCUAAUAUGCAUGUAAUUUCGGGAUUUUUCAAAAAGUUCGAUUUUUGCUGAAAUUUUUUGCAUAAUUUGGUUAGAAAUAGCAUUUGUAUGCAUUCUAAUAUAUUUAGAAAUUUUUUUUGCUAUUUUUACAGAUUUUUCAAAAAUUUUGUUCAUGUAUGUAAUUUUUGAUAUAGGAAAAUGGCGUUUUUGCUUGUACUGGUGCUUUUGGUGCUAAUGGCUGGGAGACGGAGCCGUGGUGGUGGUAGAGGUCGUCAUGGGGCUUCUAAAAGGACUCGUAGAACUGAAGAAGCGUCCGGGUCUGAUUCGGAUUAUCAGGAAAGCUCCUCUGAAGAUGCAGAAGAACCUAUUGUUGCUCUUGAUAAGGGCAAAGGAAUAGCUAGCGAAUCCUCACAUGGCGGUGGUUCUCGUGCAAGAGAAACUCGGUCAAAGCAUGCUGCGGAUGUUCCUCCUGAGCGACGGAAGAUGUACAUGAGCAAGUCUUGCAUUGCGGAGCGUUAUGUCAACUUCAACGAUCUUAUUCAUGACGUUCCUGACUUUGGCUGGUUACUUCAGCGGGUUCCUAUUGAGCCGGUUGGCAGAGUCCCUGCUCGCGCUCUUUUUUGUGUGGAACUCAUUCGUGAGUUCUAUAUGAACGGAAAGGUACUUGCAGAAGAUGAGGAGACCGGGACAUUCCUCUUUGAGACAUUCGUGCGUCAACAGNUGUUUUUGAAUUCUUGUGUAGUGCAUUGAUAGGUGCUUGUUGCAUAAUUUUAUUCAUUGCAUUACAUAUUUAAAUGUUUUUUUUGGUGCUUUGAAUUUUGUUUAUUUAAAAAUCAUUUUGAGGAAAAGGUGUUUAGGAAUUCAAAAUUUUCGAGAAAAUAGAUGAUUGAGAUCCAUGAUUUUGGAGAGAGAAAUUUUUUUUAAGUUGUUUAAACGGUGUUUAACUUUACAAUCAUAUUAAGUUAAAUUCAUAUUAAUUAUCGUCUUUACUCCACUAUUUAUUAUUUUGACGAUAAUUUAUUAUAUGAUUUCUUAUUGCAUAUAUUCAUCAAAAUUUUAUAAUCAAAUUUGAUCUCUUGGUGAUUAAUCUAUCUCGGUUGUAUGUGUUGAAUAUGAUGAAUGGAUAUUCUCUAAUUGACUAAAAUUUGUCAAAAUUAUUUUCAAUUGUGAGAUUGUCUAAUUUAGGGGGAGUUUGAAAUUGUUUAAAAAAAAUAAAUAAAGGAAACUCCUAUGUUUAAAAGAUGUGGAAAGAGUUACAUCCUAAAAGGAGUGUGAAAACUACCACCACAUGUAGGAAAGAGCUACCACCCCGGUCGUCCGGUAGGUGUGUGAAGCUACCACAUGGAGAUUAAUUGAAAAGCCGAAAAGGUUGAAAAAAUAAUAAUAAUUUUAGAAUUUUUCGGAGUAAUAAGGUGUUAGUUUGAAAAAGAUGCUCAAAGAGCCACCCCCGGUAUCAUAUUAGUUAAAUCUCUAUUUUGAACGUGUUACGACAAAUUGGUGUCAAUUUUUGUUGAAUUUCUUAAAAUCAUUGCUCAUCAACUCACAUCUUGAUAAUUUUGAAACUUGAAAUCAGUUUUGAUUAUGAAAUUUUGAUGUUUGGAUGUAUUUUGAAAUUUUAUAAUAUAUUAUUUUCAUCAUAAUGAUUUUUAGAGUAAAAACCUUAAUUUAUAUGAAAUUAAUUUAAUUUGAUGGAUUUUUAAAGGAAAAUUUUCGAAAUCUGGGAUCGUGUACCGGUACAGGAUCGUGUACCGGUGCGGGUACUGUAGCCGCGGAUAUAUAUCCGGUUACAGAGUUAUUGUUCUCUUUCAAAUCUGAACCAAACCUCGUUUUCUCUCUCUCUAAAAAUCCCUGGUGCCUUCCUCUUGUAGAUCUACACGUUUUCCCUCAGAUAUUUGUGAGUAUUUAGCUUGGAUUUAAUCGUUUCAUCGCGUUCAUGUUUAUUUUUCGAAAAUAUUCCGA
rnacentral:lncRNA from 1 species